rnacentral:rRNA from 1 species
UACGGGAGGCAGCAGGGGGGAAUAUUGCACAAUGGGCGCAAGCCUGAUGCAGCCAUGCCGCGUGUAUGAAGAAGGCCUUCGGGUUGUAAAGUACUUUCAGUCGUGAGGAAGGUGUUAAGGUUAAUAACCUUAGCAAUUGACGUUAGCGACAGAAGAAGCACCGGCUAACUCCGUGCCAGCAGCCGCGGUAAUACGGAGGGUGCGAGCGUUAAUCGGAAUUACUGGGCGUAAAGGGCACGCAGGCGGUUAAUUAAGUUGGAUGUGAAAUCCCCGGGCUUAACCUGGGAAUGGCAUUCAAGCUGGUUAGCUAGAGUCUUGUAGAGGGGGUAGAAUUCCAUGUGUAGCGGUGAAAUGCGUAGAGAUGUGGAGGAAUACCGGUGGCGAAGGCGGCCCCUGGACAAAGACUGACGCUCAUGUGCGAAAGCGUGGGGAGCAAACGAGGGAUUUAGAUAC